rnacentral:sRNA from 1 species
ACAAAAAUGGCGGACGCUGGAAAGCGCCGUUCCUGACUCUAAUGUACUUAGACACUUGAAGCCACAAAAGGAUUUAUCCCCGAGGUUCCUCAUCUGCUCGCGAGGAUGCCUUUUCUCUUCUGCCUUGCGAAAUAACAGCAGCCUAGCUGUUGCCCGUGACCAGUGAGGAAGGCAGCGUCGCGGGCUGAUUACGUUUCACCCAAAGGGUGCCGGCGCCGAAUUGGUUUCUAACGAGAACUUUAAAAAUGAUCCGUUCCAAAAAAGGGUAGGAGCCGCGAGACCCUCCAACUGCCCAGAGAAAACAAGUCUCGUCUGGCAAAGUUCUCGGCCCACGCGGUCCGCGGCCAAGGGCCAACGGUCCCUCGCCCCACGUUGCCGCAGCACUGCGCGUGCGCGAGCCGCUGUCAAACGCGCUGACGGAGGCCGAGAAGAAAAAAAGGCGGGAGCCGUCAAUCCCGGGUUGAGCAAAAUGGCGCGGGAGAAGGAGAUGCAGGAGUUCACCCGUAGCUUCUUCCGAGGCCGCCCGGACCUCAGGUGCCCAGGGGGUUGGAGAUGGGGUUGGAAAGGGCGCGGGUGGGACGGGACUCCGUCCUGACACCAUGUCCCUGCAGCACGCUUACGCAUUCCAUCGUGCGGCGGAGGUACUUGGCUCACUCCGGCCGCAGCCACCUGGAGCCCGAGGAGAAGCAGGCACUGAAGCGGCUGGUGGAGGAGGAGCUGCUGAAGAUGCAGGUGGAUGAAGCCGCUUCCAGGGAAGACAAACUGGACCUUACCAAGAAGGGCAAGAGGCCUCCCACCCCUUGUAGCGACCCGGAGAGAAAAAGGUUCCGCUUCAAUUCAGAGUCGGAGUCCGGCUCUGAAGCCUCCAGCCCAGACUACUUUGGACCCCCAGCAAAGAAUGGGGUGGCAGCAGAAGUCAGCCCAGCCAAAGAGGAGAAUCCAAGGCGAGCCUCAAAGGCAGUUGAGGAGAGCAGUGAUGAGGAACGGCAGAGGGACCUGCCCGCACAGAGGGGAGAGGAGAGCAGUGAGGAGGAGGAAAAGGGGCUGGCUCAGGUCGCCGUGGAGAGGACCACCCGGCUGUGAUGAGGCUGAAGCGCUACAUUCGGGCCUGUGGUGCCCAUCGAAACUACAAGAAGCUGUUGGGCUCCUGUUGCUCACACAAGGAGCGCCUGAGUAUCCUCCGGGCAGAACUGGAAGCACUAGGCAUGAAGGGUACCCCUUCCCUAGAGAAGUGUCGGGCCCUGAAGGAGCAGAGGGAGGAGGCAGCUGAGGUGGCCUCCUUGGAUGUUGCAAACAUCAUCAGUGGCUCGGGCCGGCCACGCAGACGUACAGCCUGGAACCCUUUAGGAGAAGCAGCACCCCCAGGGGAGCUGUACCGACGGACCCUGGACUCAGAUGAAGAGCGGCCCCGUCCCGCACCCCCAGACUGGUCACAUAUGCGUGGCAUCAUCAGCAGUGAUGGCGAGAGUAACUGAGCUCUGCCAUCCCCAGGAGGGACCCUUGAUACAUGUACAAAGCAUACAUAGCACCUCUUGCCCUGUGUCUGUUGAACAGAAGCAGCUUCCUUCAGAGAAGACUGCAGCUCCCAAGGACACAAGCUGUUGGGAUGCUACUUCUCAGCUUCACGCUGUCCAUUUAAGGUGUUUAUUUUUUAAGACUCAAUAAAGGAGUGUUUUUAAUCACCUC